rnacentral:rRNA from 1 species
UACGUAGGGCGCAAGCGUUAUCCGGAAUUAUUGGGCGUAAAGAGCUCGUAGGCGGUUUGUCGCGUCUGCCGUGAAAGUCCGGGGCUCAACUCCGGAUCUGCGGUGGGUACGGGCAGACUAGAGUGAUGUAGGGGAGACUGGAAUUCCUGGUGUAGCGGUGAAAUGCGCAGAUAUCGGGAGGAACACCAGUAGCGAAGGCGACACUCUGGGCCGGUACUGACGCUGAGGAGCGAAAGCGUGGGGAGCAAACAGG